rnacentral:lncRNA from 1 species
GAUUGGGGGGGAUUUUGGGGUGUUUUGGGGUCACCUGUGCGACAUGAGCCCCCAAAACAACGUGGUACCCCAAAAUUUGGGGGGGAUUUUGGGGGGUUUCAGGGGUCACCUGUGCGACGUGAGCCCCCAAAAUAACGUGGUACCCCAAAACUGGGGGGAUUUCGGGAGGAUUUUGGGGAUUUUGGGGUGUCCUUGGGGUCACCUGUGCGACAUGAGCCCCCAAAACAACGUGGGGCAGCGUCCCUGUGACCUGGCGGACGAGGAGACCCUGCCCCUGCUGGAGGAGCUGCAGCGGCGCCAGCACCACGUGAGACCCCCGAAACCUCCCCAAAAUCUGCGGAAUCCCACCCAAAAAACGGCCAAAAUCUGCAGAAUCCCACCCAAAAAACAACACCCAAAACCUGCGGAAUCCCACCCAAAAAACGGCCAAAAUCUGCGGAAUCCCACCCAAAAAACAACCCAUGAAAACCUCCCAAAAAUCCUCCCAAAAAUCCACAAAAUCCCACCCAAAAAUGCACAAAACCCCCCCCAAAACCCCCAAAAUCCAACCCAAAAUCCCCAAAAUUCACCCAAAAAAGCCCAAAUUCCCCCCAAAACCCCCAAAAUCCAACCCAAAAUCCCCAAAAAACCCAAAAACCCCAAAAUUCCCCCCAAAAAAACCCAAAUUUUCUCCAAAUUUCCCCCAAAUUUCCCCCAAAAUCCCUCCAAAAUCCCCAAACUCCCCCCCA